GACGAACGCUGGCGGCGUGCUUAACACAUGCAAGUCGAACGGAAAGGCCCUGCUUUUGUGGGGUGCUCGAGUGGCGAACGGGUGAGUAACACGUGAGUAACCUGCCCUUGACUUUGGGAUAACUUCAGGAAACUGGGGCUAAUACCGGAUAGGAGCCCCUGCUGCAUGGAGGGGGUUGGAAAGUUUCGGCGGUUGGGGAUGGACUCGCGGCUUAUCAGCUUGUUGGUGGGGUAGUGGCUUACCCAGGCUUUGACGGGUAGCCGGCCUGAGAGGGUGGCCGGCCACAUUGGGCCUGAGGUACGGCCCAGAGUCCUACGGGAGGCAGCAGUGGGGAAUAUUGCACAAUGGGCGGAAGCCGGAUGCAGCAACCCCGCGUGCGGGAUGACGGCCUUCGGGUUGUAAACCGCUUUCGCCUGUGACGAAGCGUGAGUGACGGUAAUGGGUAAAGAAGCACCGGCUAACUACGUG
rnacentral:rRNA from 1 species